rnacentral:rRNA from 1 species
UAUCUCUGUAGAGUCUGCAUAUCAAUAAGCGGAGGAAAAGAAACUAACAAGGAUUCCCUUAGUAACGGCGAGUGAAGCGGGAAGAGCUCAAAUUUGAAAUCUUCAAGGUUCUACCUUGACGAAUUGUAGUUUAAAGAAGUGUUUUCUGUUAGAUGAGUAGCAAAAGUUCCUUGGAAUGGGACAUCAUAGAGGGUGAGAAUCCCGUAUUUGGUUAUUCAUUCUAGCUUUGUGAUACACUUUCAAAGAGUCGGAUUGUUUGGGAAUGCAGUCCAAAAUGGGUGGUAAAUUUCAUCUAAAGCUAAAUAUUGGCGAGAGACCGAUAGCGAACAAGUACCGUGAGGGAAAGAUGAAAAGAACUUUGAAAAGAGAGUUAAACAGUACGUGAAAUUGUCAAAAGGGAAGCGUUUGACACCAGUGUUGUUUUUCCGAAAAUCAAUUACUGAAUGGCUUGAUUUUGUGUUGUAUUGACCUUAUCAGCUUUCUUCACUUUUUUCGAGUCUUUCUUAAUGCACUUUUCGGUUAACAAGUCAACAUCAAUUUCUUUUGUUGUAAAAGAGUAUUCGGAAGGUGGCUUUCUUUUCGGAGAAAGUGUUUAUAGCCCUAUACUUCUACAAUCGGAGAGAUUGAGGUCUGCAGCGUAGAUCCUUCGGGGUUAGAUACACUUGUGCUAAGUUGUAGCUUUUCAUAGACAACUUGUUGACUAUGUUUAGUCAUGCGGCUUACUCGCUUGUGCUAUUUUACCUACGCUUAGGAUGUUGACUGAUAUGUAGUCGUA